rnacentral:misc_RNA from 1 species
UUAACUAUUGUAUAGGACUCAGACAACACUCAUAGUCAGGAUAGGGGGGUCUCUGGCGGGCACACACCGGCCGGGGCCGGUGGGAGGUCGAGCCUCGCGGCCCGCCAAAGCAACGCGGUAGCGAUAACACAGGGUGGGAGGUCGACCCCGAGGGGCACGAACGCUCUGUAAUGAUCCCUCCGCAGGUUCACCUACGGAGA